rnacentral:rRNA from 1 species
UGGAUAACCUGCCCUUGGGUCCGGCAUAACCCCGGGAAACUGGGGAUAAUUCCGGAUAACGCACAUAUGCUGGAAUGCUUUAUGCGUAAAAUGGAUUCGUCUGCCCAAGGAUGGGUCUGCGGCCUAUCAGGUAGUAGUGGGUGUAAUGUACCUACUAGCCAACAACGGGUACGGGUUGUGAGAGCAAGAGCCCGGAGAUGGAUUCUGAGACAUGAAUCCAGGCCCUACGGGGCGCAGCAGGCGCGAAAACUUUACAAUGCGGGAAACCGUGAUAAGGGGACACCGAGUGCCAGCAUCAUAUGCUGGCUGUCCAGGUGUGUAAACUACACCUGUUAGCAAGGGCCGGGCAAGACCGGUGCCAGCCGCCGCGGUAACACCGGCGGCCCGAGUGGUGAUCGUGAUUAUUGGGUCUAAAGGGUCCGUAGCCGGUUUGGUCAGUCCUCCGGGAAAUCUGAUAGCUCAACUAUUAGGCUUUCGGGGGAUACUGCCAGGCUUGGAACCGGGAGAGGUAAGAGGUACUACAGGGGUAGGAGUGAAAUCUUGUAAUCCCUGUGGGACCACCUGUGGCGAAGGCGUCUUACCAGAACGGGUUCGACGGUGAGGGACGAAAGCUGGGGGCACGAACCGGAUUAGAUACCCGGGUAGUCCCAGCCGUAAACGAUGCUCGCUAGGUGUCAGGCAUGGCGCGACCGUGUCUGGUGCCGCAGGGAAGCCGUGAAGCGAGCCACCUGGGAAGUACGGCCGAAAGGCUGAAACUUAAAGGAAUUGGCGGGGGAACACAA